GUGGGAGUAGCUCAGUUUUGGUUAGAGCAACCGAUUGCAAUCAUCGGUAGGUCGUGGGUUCGAAUCCCACUUCCCACU
rnacentral:tRNA from 1 species